GGAAAGAGGAGCGCGCUCCAUAAAUGGAAUUACAAACCACCGCCUAAAUUCAGCCAUCUUACC
rnacentral:tRNA from 1 species